rnacentral:rRNA from 1 species
UACAGAGGGGGCAAGCGUUGUUCGGAAUUACUGGGCGUAAAGGGCGCGUAGGCGGCCCGCUAAGUCGAACGUGAAAUCCCCGAGCUCAACUCGGGAACUGCGUCCGAUACUGGUGGGCUUGAAUCCGGGAGAGGGAUGCGGAAUUCCAGGUGUAGCGGUGAAAUGCGUAGAUAUCUGGAGGAACACCGGUGGCGAAGGCGGCAUCCUGGACCAGUAUUGACGCUGAGGAGCGAAAGCCAGGGAGGACAAACGGGG